rnacentral:rRNA from 1 species
CUCAGUACGGCGAGUGAAGCGGCAAAAGCUCAAAUUUGAAAUCUAGCACUUUCAGUGUUCGAGUUGUAAUUUGAAGAAAGUCUCCUUGAAUAGUCCUUUAUCUAUGUUCCUUGGAACAGGACGUCAUAGAGGGUGAGAACCCCGUAUGAUUUUGGAUCCUAUUCUCUGUGGGAGUCUUUCGAAGAGUCGAGUUGUUUGGGAAUGCAGCUCUAAGUGGGUGGUAAAUUCCAUCUAAAGCUAAAUAUUGGCGAGAGACCGAUAGCGAACAAGUACAGUGAUGGAAAGAUGAAAAGAACUCUGAAGAGAGAGUGAAAAAGUACGUGAAAUUGCUGAAAGGGAAGGGCUUGAGGUCAGACUUGGUGUUUAAUGAUUAUCUUCUUUUCUUAAGUUGUGCACUCGUUUUUCACUGGGCCAAUAUCAGUUUUUGUAGUAGAGCACCUCUUGAAAUGUGAUUUCCUUCGGGGAGUGUUAUAGUCUUGAGACGAUCUACUACGGGGACUGAGGACUGCGCGUUAUGCUAGGAUAUUGGCGUAAUGACCUUAAGCCGCCCGUCUUGACCC